rnacentral:rRNA from 1 species
UACGGGGGGGGCAAGCGUUGUUCGGAAUUACUGGGCGUAAAGGGCGCGUAGGCGGCCUGCUAAGUCGGACGUGAAAUCCCUCGGCUCAACCGGGGAACUGCGUCCGAUACUGGUGGGCUCGAAUCCGGGAGAGGGAUGUGGAAUUCCAGGUGUAGCGGUGAAAUGCGCAGAUAUCAGGAGGAACACCGGUGGCGAAGGCGGGUCUCUGGGCCGAAACUGACGCUGAGGAGCGAAAGCGUGGGGAGCGAACAGG